rnacentral:snRNA from 1 species
AUACCUUUCUCGGCCUUUUGGCUAAGAUCAAGUGUAGUAUCUGUUCUUAUCAGUUUAAUAUCUGAUAUGUGGGUCAUCGGCCCACACGAUAUUAACUCAAUUUUUUAAGGGGGAAGGUCCACUAGGAUAGCUUGCUAUUCGGGCCUUUGUGUGUUGCUUUGGUGUUGCACUAUAGCCAAAGCCUGGCGCACCCCAC